AGAAAGUUACAGCCGUGGUAUUUGCUGGGAUUCAGUAGAAUCUUUGAUUUAUGCUUGUGUGAACUUAUAUGUUACAACGCAGAAGACAGCAUGUUAUGUUUCAAAUAACUAUGGCAAGAAGUGGUCAAAAUUAGAUAUUUGCGUAGGAUCAGUUUUUGGUCUUUAUAUGUCAACAAGGGAUUUGUAUGUUAUACAUAGAAAU